rnacentral:rRNA from 1 species
GACGAACGCUGGCGGCGUGCUUAACACAUGCAAGUCGAACGGAAAGGCCCUGCUUUUGUGGGGUGCUCGAGUGGCGAACGGGUGAGUAACACUUGAGUAACCUGCCCUUGACUUUGGGAUAACUUCAGGAAACUGGGGCUAAUACCGGAUAGUAGCUCCUGCUGCAUGUUGGGGGUUGGAAAGUUUCGGCGGUUGGGGAUGGACUCGCGGCUUAUCAGCUUGUUGGUGGGGUAGUGGCUUACCAAGGCUUUGACGGGUAGCCGGCCUGAGAGGGUGACCGGCAACAUUGGGACUGAGAUACGGCACAGACUCAUACGGGAGGCAGCAGAGGGGAAUAGUGCACAAUGGACGGAAGCCUGAUGCAGCAAAGCCGCGUGGGGGAUGAGGGCCUUCGGGCUGUAAACCGCUUUCGCCUGUGACGAAGAGUGAGUGACGGUAAUGGGUAAAGAAGCACCGGCUAACUACGUG